rnacentral:rRNA from 1 species
CCUACGGGAGGCAGCAGUGGGGAAUAUUGCGCAAUGGGCGAAAGCCUGACGCAGCGACGCCGCGUGAGGGAUGAAGGUCUUCGGAUCGUAAACCUCUGUCAGCAGGGAAGAACGGGCACUGUGCUAAUCAGCAGUGACUUGACGGUACCUGCAAAGGAAGCACCGGCUAACUCCGUGCCAGCAGCCGCGGUAAUACGGUGGGUGCGAGCGUUAAUCGGAAUUACUGGGCGUAAAGCGCUCGUAGGCGGUAUGUCAAGUCAAGGGUGAAAUCCCCGCGCUCACCGUGGGAACUGCCUUUGAAACUGGCAAACUGGAGUGUGUGAGAGGAUAGUGGAAUGCCAGGUGUAGGGGUGAAAUCCGUAGAUAUCUGGAGGAACAUCAGUGGCGAAGGCGACUAUCUGGCACACAACUGACGCUGAGGAGCGAAAGCGUGGGUAGCAAACAGGAUUAGAUACCCGAGUAGUC